AUGAACGCUGGCGGCGUGCCUAAUACAUGCCAGUCGAGCGAACAGACGAGGAGCUUGCUCCUCUGACGUUAGCGGCGGACGGGUGAGUAACACGUGGAUAACCUACCUAUAAGACUGGGAUAACUUCGGGAAACCGGAGCUAAUACCGGAUAAUAUAUUGAACCGCAUGGUUCAAUAGUGAAAGACGGUUUUGCUGUCACUUAUAGAUGGAUCCGCGCCGCAUUAGCUAGUUGGUAAGGUAACGGCUUACCAAGGCAACGAUGCGUAGCCGACCUGAGAGGGGGAUCGGCCACACUGGAACUGAGACACGGUCCAGACUCCUACGGGAGGCAGCAGUAGGGAAUCUUCCGCAAAGGGCGAAAGCCUGACGGAGCAACGCCGCGUGAGUGAUGAAGGUCUUCGGAUCGUAAAACUCUGUUAUUAGGGAAGAACAAAUGUGUAAGUAACUAUGCACGUCUUGACGGUACCUAAUCAGAAAGCCACGGCUAACUACGUG
rnacentral:rRNA from 1 species